UGGGGAAUAUUGCACAAUGGAGGGAACCCUGACCGAGCAACGCCGCGUGAGUGAAGAAGGUUUUCGGAUCGUAAAGCUCUGUUGUUAAGGAAGAACGAGUGUGAGAAUGGAAAGUUCAUGCUGUGACGGUACUUAACCAGAAAGGGACGGCUAACUACGUGCCAGCAGCCGCGGUAAUACGUAGGUCCCGAGCGUUGUCCGGAUUUAUUGGGCGUAAAGCGAGCGCAGGCGGUUAGAAAAGUCUGAUGUGAAAGCCCACGGCUCAACCGUGGAGGGUCAUUGGAAACUAAUAAACUUGAGUGCAGGAGAGAAAAGUGGAAUUCCUAGUGUAGCGAUGAAAUGCGUAGAGAUUAGGAGGAACACCGGUGGCGAAAGCGGCUUUUUGGCCUGCAACUGACACUGAGGCGCGAAAGCGUGGGGAGCAAACAGG
rnacentral:rRNA from 1 species